GACAAUGGCUGACAGACUUGACUGAAGACUGGAAAUGUUUUGCUAUCUCACAGGAAAAGAAGGCCCCUCCUACAACACUGUACUCUAAGGACAGUUUAUUCAGGUGCUUCCUACACAAGAAGUCACAUGACCACAGAGUGUCAUUUGUCAAAGAACCAAGAACUUGUUCAAAACUCUACAGAGCAUCCAAUCUAUCACGUGGAUAUGCAAUAAUGAGGUAUGUUAUUAAUCUGUCACCAUUUCUAUACUGCAGCUUCAAAAAGAGCAGACAAAUAUACUUGCAAAAUAAUUCAGUUUCUGAAAAGUGGUUGGCUUCCCAGAAUACUUGUGCAUAGGCAGAGCAAUGAACAAUUCCACUACAUGAGGUGGUUGGCUGGUUGUGAGUGUAAAUUAGAAAGGUGGUAGGAGAGAGCAAAGAUGUAUCAAAUUGGCAAACUUUAUCAGAUAUUUUUAAGCUAACACAGCUGCUCAUCCCUACCAGAUGAUGCUGGGUCUGGACGUUGCUGGUCUUUAUCUUUCUUGUUGAAGUCAACCAAAUAUUUCUGGUUCAGUGCACAAUCAAGAUGUACCUCCUUGCUCUCCUGCUUCAGUGGGACCAACUUCUUCCUACAUGUGUUCUCCAUCAGGAGCUGGCUGAGCAGGUUUCUGGAAAUACAGUCUGCAUAGUAAGAUCAUGCUGCCCCUUUCUCCCAUUCCUACUCGUAAGUCCCACUAAGUCUACCAGGUCCCAGAUACCCAUGAAGACUUAAUAGAAUUCAUUUCGAUACAUAUAAGGCUGCUGCACAAACCACAAAGAAUAAAUUCCGGGAAGAAUAAAUUGUUUGUUUGGCCCGAGCACCAAUUAGUGUCCACAUCUCUCAAAAAGAACAUGGAUCUACAACUAUCCAUGAAAGCCCAAUGCAUGGGGGCAACAUCAAUUAGUAGUGGGCCAACACCCUCAAAGGAGGUCAGUAGAACCAAGAGAAGGUCAUGCUAACCAUGUGGUCUACACACUGAGUUUUGUAAAACCUGGUAUGACACCAUAGGUCCAGGUCAGCCUAAUAACCUUCUGCUGACUUCAAUCAGUGCUGUUCUAUCUAGAGCCUUCUGAAGAUGCCUAGACAAUCCUGGGAUGAGUAACAGUCUUUUAUGGAACUGAAAACUGAGUCCUAAUGACCCUGGCACACUGAUGUGUAAACAGCACAAGAGAUAGAACCAGAGCUGAAGACCGUCCAAUCCAGAACAAAGAAAGUCAGAAAUGGCCAUUCCACAGGUGAUAGCCUUUCUGACCAGGACUUACCUAGAGAAGGUCUUCAUAAUAUGGAUUUGGCCUGAAGUGUGGCCUGGCCCCAAAUAAUAGAAUACAAUGAACAUCGGCAUUUAGGAAUAUAUGAACUCAGGGUGGGUCCUGUACUACCCCAGUCCUGGAAGGACACCUUCUGAAUUCUACAUAUUGGAUCUUCUUCAGCUUCAGAAACGUGUUUUUCUGCGUCCAGGACACCAGAAUCUCGGCAUCCAGAUGGAGGCUUCCCUGGCUCCCUUUGUUCAAUCAAGAGGAAAUCUGCAGUCAAGCCAGUUAAGCUAUCAAGAGCCUAGGCCACACCUCUCCAUGCUCCCCCACCCCAACACACCCAGAAACCUGUGAUUUCUUUUCUCCUGUUUUGAUAACAGACCAUAUAUCAACACAAAAUUAUAAUCUGCACAAGGAAUACAAAUAAACAGACAAUCGUGGCCACAUAGGCAAAGAACUGUGCUGUUGACAGUGGGGCUCCCAGAACAAAGCAUUCACAUCACCAUGAAUGUGUUACAGGUAAAUACUCAGGCCAAGACAUAGACCCCUAGAUUCCAAGUGUGGAGGGAAAUAUAAACAUAUAAAAGUUGUCCAUAUGCAUUUGGAUGUAUGCACAUACAGACUCACAGACUGAGAAAUACCCACAAAAAAAGAGAAAUGUAAAAACAGAGUCAGAGAAAGAGAAAGAGAAAUAUGGAAACAGAGAGUACUGUGAAAACCAGGAGAAAUGCAUCCACCAUUGCUGUCUCAGAGGGCAAGACACACAGACAAUAACAAACAGGCCUGAGCCUGAGACCUUCUAGUCAAGCAUUGAGAUGAACAGUUUGGGACCAGGCCCCUCAGGCUGCUGCGUGGAUCUUCCAGCACUCAGUCCCCUGCCUAGCAAGUACAGAGACUCACCGUAAACUCACUGCAAUUACAAUCUUGCAAAGCCACCAUCUGUCAAGGGCUUUGCAAAUGCACACUAGACACUCACUCUCCCUGACUUUAUCCCCGAAUUCUUCAUUCAGACCACAAGAUCUGCUUUUCAAUAAAUGGAAGCAGAUGAGUCCAUUUUCCAUCUCGCUCCUCAGGAAGGGUCAAGGUUCUGAAUCUCCUCUAUAUGGGAGGUGAGGUUUAGCACAGGGUGGUUAGGGAGGCACAGCUUUCUAGAACCCAAAACCUUAAUAGGAUAAGAUGAAGGUGACCUUGCAGACCCAGGAAUGAAACAAGAGCAUUUGGAGCGAUUCAUACCUGUUCUUCAUGGAUCUCUCUGUCAGAAACCUCAGGCGAUCUCUCAGGUCAUUUCUCUCCUCGGUAAUGAGCUGCAGCUCUUUAAUCAGCCUCUCCUUUUCCGUCUUGGCCUGAUUCUCGCUUAGUUCAGUGCCAGGGGAUGAUGUUUCUCUCCCAGCGUCUGUAGGUAGAAGAACACAAGUGAACCUGCAUGGGGAGAAUGCAUAGAGUGUACAUAGACCACAGUGAGGCCUAAACAGGAGAACAAGCCUGGAACCCAGUGUCACUGCUAGGCGAUUGGUCUAUGCUUAAGAGGCCUCCUCAGUGGAUCUCAGUUCUCCCACUACUCUAUAGAGACCAAGAGAUGUAAGCAGCCAGGUGUUCCCUAUGCCGGACAUCACGUGCUUACAUGUACCACGGAGAUGGCUUCUCCAGGAUUAUCAUCAGCUGAACAGGGUACAGCUUGGUUUCAGGACCCUCACCCCUGUGGUUUCAGAACUCAGAUGAUAAAUUCACCAUCCACAAGACUUGAGUGAUUGGAGACACUCAGAUGUCCUACCCUGAUACUCUAGGCCAACAACUUUGGAUAAAAACACAUUUCCAUGGAGGACAUGGUCAACAGACUUAUCAGUUCCCCUAUUUGAAAUACCAAAUGCCCGAGAAGUUCCAGUAGGUUACAGGCUGAAUCUUGGUCCACAUGUUCCAAACAGUUUUGGUAUUUUAGAAACAUGUUUGUAACACACAACCUCUAAUAUAUAAAGCUAACGAUGACCCUGCCAGUUAGAAGAAAUCAGAGGAGGUCUAAGAACAUAAGGUUAUUGCCUGGAGCACAAUUCUCCCCCUGUUCCUACUGUCAGAUAUCCACUGUAUUUAAAGAAGCAAUGAUAGUGAAAUACAUUGCUGCCCUGUCUAAACUCAGAAAAGGUGGACCCUCCAUGACUCCUGAUGGUGUUAUUAUACAAUGUAACAUAACAAAUGCACUGUAAAAGUAAAGACCAGAAGUUCACAGUAUAAUAGCAUUGGCCUUACCAUAGCCUCCCAGUGGAGAUGGGGAAACUAAAGGUCUGAAAUCCUGACUUUCAGGAAUUGUGAUAUUCAUGGAAAUUCAAUUCCUUUUCAGAUGCUCCAGUUGUUGUGGCCCAUUGCUAGAAAGGUCAGCUUAAGCCUGCAGCCCCCCUGGCAGGAAGCUCAAAAUACACUGCCCAGAACUUACUCAACAUUCCCCAGAAGUGCUGUCUUUGUCCAUCAUUACUUUGAGACGAAAGGCUAGACUCCUUCACUUUAGUCUCUCCAGAAUCGACAUUCCCCCUCCCAAAACGCUUGCGAAGACGGGAAAACAUGUCUUAGCUUGUAACCGCCAGACUCAGACUGAGAGAAACUAGGGCACUGGUUGUCACUACAACACUGGUGACAUCACAGAGGAUGCCAGAACUCUCUAGGAGACAAUAGAAUGUCCAAGAAGGGACAGCUGAUGUCAUGGGGAGCAGACUUUGCCUCCCUGCUAAUGUUCUCCCUGUACUGAGCAUAAGCAGAGGUGCCCUUUCCAGGAG
ensembl:lncRNA